rnacentral:rRNA from 1 species
CCUACGGGAGGCAGCAGUGGGGAAUAUUGGGCAAUGGGCGCAAGCCUGACCCAGCAACGCCGCGUGAAGGACGAAGGCUCUCGGGUUGUAAACUUCUUUUCUCAGGGACGAAGAAAGCGACGGUACCUGAGGAAUAAGCCACGGCGAACUAUGUGCCAGAAGCCGCGGGAAUACGUAGGUGGCAAGAGUUAUCCGGAUUCAUGGGGUGUAAAGGGCGUGUAGGCGGGAGCGUAAGUCAGAUGUGAAAACUCAGGGCUCAACCCUGGGCCUGCAUUUGAAACUGGGUUUCUUGAGUGCUGGGGAGGCAGGCGGAAUUCGGGGUGUAGCGGUGAAAUGCGUAGAUAUACGGAGGAACACCGGUGGCGAAGGCAGAUUGCUGGAGAGUAACUGACGCUGAGGCGCGAAGGCGUGGGGAGCGAACAGGAUUAGAUACCCUUGUAGUC